rnacentral:rRNA from 1 species
GUGGGGAAUAUUGCACAAUGGGCGAAAGCCUGAUGCAGCAACGCCGCGUGAAGGAUGAAGGCCUUUGGGUCGUAAACUUCUGUCCUUGGGGAAGAAAAAAAUGACGGUACCCCUGGAGGAAGUCCCGGCUAACUACGUGCCAGCAGCCGCGGUAAUACGUAGGGGGCGAGCGUUAUCCGGAAUGAUUGGGCGUAAAGAGUACGUAGGUGGUUUUUUAAGCGCAGGGUUUAAGGCGAUGGCUCAACUGUCGUUCGCCCUGUGAACUGGAAGACUUGAGUACAGGAGAGGAAAGCGGAAUUCCUAGUGUAGCGGUGAAAUGCAUAGAUAUUAGGAGGAACACCAGUGGCGAAGGCGGCUUUCUGGACUGUAACUGACACUGAGGUACGAAAGCGUGGGGAGCAAACAGGAUUAGAUACCCGAGUAGUCC